rnacentral:rRNA from 1 species
GACGAACGCUGGCGGCGUGCUUAACACAUGCAAGUCGAACGGAAAGGCCCUGCUUUUGUGGGUUGCUCGAGUGGCGAACGGGUGAGUAACACGUGAGUAACCUGCCCUUGACUUUGGGAUAACUUCAGGAAACUGGGGCUAAUACCGGAUAGGAGCUCCUGCUGCAUGGUGGGGGUUGGAAAGUUUCGGCGGUUGGGGAUGGACUGGCGGCUUAUCAGCUUGUUGGUGGGGUAGUGGCUUACCAAGGCUUUGACGGGUAGCCGGCCUGAGAGGGUGACCGGCGACAUUGGGACUGAGAUACGGCACAGACUCCUACGGGAGGCAGCAGUGGGGAAUAUUGCACAAUGGGCGGAAGCCUGAUGAAGAAACGCCGCGUGCGGGAUGACGGCCUUCGGGUUGUAAACCGCUUUCGCCUGUAACGAAGCGUGAGUGACGGUAAUGGGUAAAGAAGCACCGGCUAACUACGUG